UUUAUGCAAAAAAAAAAAGUAUGUUGUAAUUUUUGUUUUGCAAUUUUGCAUGCAUAUUAGCGCACUUUUAUGCAUUAUUUCUUGCAUGCAAAUGCACACAUACAUACAUACACAUGCACACAUACAUACAUACACAUGCACACAUACAUACAUACACAUGCACACAUACA